rnacentral:lncRNA from 12 species
AUGCAUCUGCCACCUUCAGGUUAUGCCCACAGGCUGGGCCGCUCAGGCCGGUCACCUUCUCUGUCACGUCGACACCGCGCCCCAAAGGACACAGCCAGGAGGGGCCAGGAGGACGGGGUGAGAAUCCGCCCCUGCUGCGUGCACCCGAGGCGCGGGGAGCACCUGCCCCUGGAGCGCUCCCGCACCCUGAGAGAGCACCUGACCUCCCUGCUGCCCGGCACCCCCGGGACCCCCGCGCCGCCGGCCUGGGACUGCCCCUGCCCCCCGCCCGGUUCCCCUUCGCGGCUACGGACCCCACUACCGUCCAAGGAGGACGGGGAGCCCGUGUCGCAGGCAGAGGAACGAUCUGGACUUGCGGAGCCACCGCAACAGGCUCACGGACACCCGGGCGGGUUUGCACGACUAUUUCCCGGUCCAGGCCCCGGGGACACUCCGGGGGGCUGGGGCAGUGGCGCCCCUUGCACAGGGCUGGAGCCGGUGCUCCGGAGGCGCCCGCAUCUCGCAUCUCGAGGCCGAGACGGACCGACGGUCCCGGUCCGGGGACGGUGCCGGCGCCCACCGCCCCCCGUGGCCCCCGACGUGGCCCCGCCGGUGGAGCAGGCUGCUGGGGUCCUUCGGCUCCAGAGGCACGUGUCGCAGAGAAAGAGCGCGCAGGGCUGUGGCCUGUGGCCGGGGCUCGCCAGCUGCGCCGCCGCGGCCCCCGCCCCCAGCGCCUAUGCGGGGCCCAGGCCCGGGGCCCCACCGCUCACCGCGCCCCCAGCCAGGCCCCAAGCCGCGCGACACCGUCCUGGUCCCUUUGGAACCCCGCGGAGCCGGGGCGCGGCCUCCCGACCCAGACAGUUCAGUGAAGAAGUCGACGGGGCCGCUCGGGGUUGGUCAGGUCGCUGCGGCCACCUCGCCCGGGUGCAGACGCCUGCUCGGUUCCCUCAGCGGCAUCAAAGGCACCCACGGGCCCACGGACUCUUGGACUCUCGGACGGACUCGCGGACUCAUGGAGCCUCGGACCCACGGACUCUCGGACGGACUGACGGACCCACGGACUCCCGGACGGCCGCCGUCCGAGCCCCAGAGCGGCCGCAGGCCCUGGGCUCCCCGCGUGUCCCGCGGGCGUCGGGCGCCCCCUGCAGCCCAGCCCCCGCCCCGCAGACGCUCCCGGGGGAGCCGCUCCACCUGCAGGGCCCGGCCGCGCCGCGACCCCAGGGCGACCUCCCUCCUGCACAGGCCCUCGCGGGGCACCGGCGCGCCCGCCACUGGGAAGCCCUUCACGGCUGCGGCCUCCCGGGGGCCACCGGGGGCUUCGCGUCGGCCUGGCGGGAGCGCGGACACCCGGCGGGAGGCGCCGACCCACAGGGGUGCGGGCGGGGAGCGCGGGGGGGCGGGGCCCGCACGGCCUCUGACCUGCGCCCCACCUGCGGCUCCGCACCGUCCACCCUCUAUUCCUUGCAUUCUGCACUUCUGUCUCCCCACUUCCUGGAGAUUUUCUUCAUGGCUUCU